rnacentral:rRNA from 1 species
GGCUCAGGAUGAACGCUAGCGACAGGCUUAACACAUGCAAGUCGAGGGGCAGCACAGGUAGCAAUACUGGGUGGCGACCGGCGCACGGGUGCGUAACGCGUAUGCAACCUACCUAUAAUAGGGGGAUAGCCUUCUGAAAGGGAGAUUAAGACCGCAUAAUACAACUGAAUCGCAUGGAUUAGUUGUAAAAUAUUUAUAGAUUAUAGAUGGGCAUGCGUCUGAUUAGAUAGUUGGAGAGGUAACGGCUCACCAAGUCAACGAUCAGUAGGGGUUCUGAGAGGAAGGUCCCCCACACCGGAACUGAGACACGGUCCGGACUCCUACGGGAGGCAGCAGUGAGGAAUAUUGGUCAAUGGGCGAGAGCCUGAACCAGCCAAGUCGCGUGAAGGAAGAAGGUCUUAUGGAUUGUAAACUUCUUUUAUAGGGGAAUAAAGAUGAGUACGUGUACUCAGUUGUAGGUACCCUAAGAAUAAGGAUCGGCUAACUCCGUGCCAGCAGCCGCGGUAAUACGGAGGAUCCGAGCGUUAUCCGGAUUUAUUGGGUUUAAAGGGUGCGUAGGCGGGUUGAUAAGUCAGUGGUGAAAGGUUUGCGCUCAACGUAGACAUUGCCAUUGAAACUGUCAGUCUUGAGUACAAAUGAGGUAGGCGGAAUGUGUUGUGUAGCGGUGAAAUGCAUAGAUAUGACACAGAACACCAAUUGCGAAGGCAGCUUACUGGGAUGUAACUGACGCUGAGGCUCAGGAUGAACGCUAGCGACAGGCUUAACACAUGCAAGUCGAGGGGCAGCACAGGUAGCAAUACUGGGUGGCGACCGGCGCACGGGUGCGUAACGCGUAUGCAACCUACCUAUAAUAGGGGGAUAGCCUUCUGAAAGGGAGAUUAAGACCGCAUAAUACAACUGAAUCGCAUGGAUUAGUUGUAAAAUAUUUAUAGAUUAUAGAUGGGCAUGCGUCUGAUUAGAUAGUUGGAGAGGUAACGGCUCACCAAGUCAACGAUCAGUAGGGGUUCUGAGAGGAAGGUCCCCCACACCGGAACUGAGACACGGUCCGGACUCCUACGGGAGGCAGCAGUGAGGAAUAUUGGUCAAUGGGCGAGAGCCUGAACCAGCCAAGUCGCGUGAAGGAAGAAGGUCUUAUGGAUUGUAAACUUCUUUUAUAGGGGAAUAAAGAUGAGUACGUGUACUCAGUUGUAGGUACCCUAAGAAUAAGGAUCGGCUAACUCCGUGCCAGCAGCCGCGGUAAUACGGAGGAUCCGAGCGUUAUCCGGAUUUAUUGGGUUUAAAGGGUGCGUAGGCGGGUUGAUAAGUCAGUGGUGAAAGGUUUGCGCUCAACGUAGACAUUGCCAUUGAAACUGUCAGUCUUGAGUACAAAUGAGGUAGGCGGAAUGUGUUGUGUAGCGGUGAAAUGCAUAGAUAUGACACAGAACACCAAUUGCGAAGGCAGCUUACUGGGAUGUAACUGACGCUGA